GACGGAGGGUGCAAGCGUUGUUCGGAUUGACUGGGCGUAAAGGGCGUGUAGGCGGUCGGCCAAGUCUGAUGUGAAAGCCCGAGGCUCAGCCUCGGAAGUGCGUCGGAAACUAGUCGGCUGGAGCGCGAUAGAGGAGGGUGGAAUUCCUGGUGUAGCGGUGAAAUGCGUAGAUAUCAGGAGGAACACCGGCGGCGAAGGCGGCCCUCUGGAUCGUUGCUGACGCUGAUACGCGAAAGCGUGGGGGGCAAACAGG
rnacentral:rRNA from 1 species